rnacentral:rRNA from 1 species
AGGGCUUGACAUAUAGGUGAGCCGGUGGAAACACCGGGGCCGAAAGGAGCCUAUACAGGUGGUGCAUGGCUGUCGUCAGCUCGUGUCGUGAGAUGUUCGGUUAAGUCCGGCAACGAGCGCAACCCUUGUCCUGUGUUGCCAUCAUUAAGUUGGGAACCCACAGGAGACUGCCGGCGUUAAGCCGGAGGAAGGUGAGGACGACGUCAAGUCAUCAUGCCCCUUAUGUCCUGGGCUACACACGUGCUACAAUGGUCGGCACAGCGGGCAGCUAGCUAGCGAUAGUUAGCGAAUCCCUUAAAGCCGGCCCCAGUUCGGAUUGGAGGCUGCAACUCGCCUCCAUGAAGUCGGAGUUGCUAGUAAUCGCGGAUCAGAAUGCCGCGGUGAAUGCGUUCCCGGGCC